UCCGGCUUAUCACCGGCAGUCCCUCUAGAGUGCCCAACUUAAUGAUGGCAACUAAAGGCGAGGGUUGCGCUCGUUGCGGGACUUAACCCAACAUCUCACGACACGAGCUGACGACAGCCAUGCACUACCUGUGUAGGACCCCGAAGGACACCGUAUCUCUACGGCUUUUCCCUACAUGUCAAACCCAGGUAAGGUUCUUCGCGUUGCCUCGAAUUAAGCAACAUGCUCCACCGCUUGUGCGGGCCCCCGUCAAUUCCUUUGAGUUUCAUUCUUGCGAACGUACUCCCCAGGUGGUGUGCUUACUGCGUUAACUGCGUCACGGACCCGGAAGGGCCCACAACUAGCAUGCAUCGUUUACAGCGUGGACUAC
rnacentral:misc_RNA from 1 species